GGGGGCAACCCUGGUGGCGAGUGGCGAACGGGUGAGUAAUGCAUCGGAACGUACCCAAUCGUGGGGGAUAACGUGGCGAAAGUCACGCUAAUACCGCAUACGUCCUGAGGGAGAAAGCAGGGGAUCGCAAGACCUUGCGCGAUUGGAGCGGCCGAUGUCUGAUUAGCUAGUUGGUGGGGUAAAAGCCUACCAAGGCGACGAUCAGUAGCUGGUCUGAGAGGAUGAUCAGCCACACUGGGACUGAGACACGGCCCAGACUCCUACGGGAGGCAGCAGUGGGGAAUUUUGGACAAUGGGCGAAAGCCUGAUCCAGCCAUUCCGCGUGAGUGAAGAAGGCCUUCGGGUUGUAAAGCUCUUUCGGCAGGAAAGAAACGGUCUGUGUUAAUACCAUGGGCUAAUGACGGUACCUGCAGAAGAAGCACCGGCUAACUACGUGCCAGCAGCCGCGGUAAUACGUAGGGUGCGAGCGUUAAUCGGAAUUACUGGGCGUAAAGCGUGCGCAGGCGGUUGUGUAAGACAGGCGUGAAAUCCCCGGGCUCAACCUGGGAACUGCGUUUGUGACUGCACAGCUAGAGUAUGGCAGAGGGGGGUGGAAUUCCACGUGUAGCAGUGAAAUGCGUAGAGAUGUGGAGGAACACCGAUGGCGAAGGCAGCCCCCUGGGCCAAUACUGACGCUCAUGCACGAAAGCGUGGGUAGCAAACAGGAUUAGAUACCCUGGUAGUCCACGCCCUAAACGAUGUCAACUAGGUGUUGGGAAGGGUAAAACCUUUUAGUACCGGAGCUAACGCGUGAAGUUGACCGCCUGGGGAGUACGGCCGCAAGGUUAAAACUCAAAGGAAUUGACGGGGACCCGCACAAGCGGUGGAUGAAUGUGGAUUAAUUCGAUGC
rnacentral:rRNA from 1 species